UGUGGCUCAGUUGGUAGAGCAUGGCACUUGUAAUGCCAGGGUUGUGGGUUCGAUUGUAUGCACUCACUA
rnacentral:tRNA from 1 species